rnacentral:rRNA from 1 species
UUUUUAUGGAUCGGUUUGCUGUUUAAUUUUGUGUUAUUUUUAUGUUUUAGUAAAGUAUUAUUUUGUUGGUGUAUUUUAUUGAUUUAAUUUUUUUGGCUAUAGUUUAUUUGUACUGUAGGGGAGUAUUGAUUUAUUUUUAGAAGUUUACUUGUUUUGUUGUACCUUGUGUAUCAGGGUUUACUGAAUUUUAUUAUUUAUUUUUAUUUCCCGAUUCUAGAAGGGGCUAUUAAUUUAUUUUAGUUGUUGUUUUAUUAACAUUAAUAAUGGGUUAAUAGUGAUGAAAUGUUAUUCGUCUUUAGGGGUUUCUGGUUUUUCAAGAAAUGAAUUUAAUUCAUGCGUCUUAUUUAGAGUUUUAUUAUUUUAUUAUUUGUUUUUAUUUGGCGUUAAGAUUGGGAGGGAUUAGCUUCUUAUUUUAUUUUUAUAAUUUUUUGUUUAUUUAGUCUUGUGGAUUUUAUGGUGAUUUUCAAUUUGAUUAUGUUAAAAUUUUAUUUGUUUUUUUCUUUAUUUUGGUUUGUUUAAUUAUUUAUUGAAAUGUGUUCUUUAUCUUUAAUUUUGGUUAGUAAUUAUUGUAGAAUUAGUAAAUUUGUUAUUAGAUUGUUUUUGUUUGGUGUUAAUUUCUUUUGAGGAACUAGGCAAAUUUCAUGUCCGCCUGUUUAACAAAAACAUCUCUUCUCGUUAGUUUUUGAAGUAUGGCCUGCCCACUGACCUUGAAUGUUGAAGGGCCGCGGUAUUUUGACCGUGCAAAGGUAGCAUAGUCAUUAGUUCUUUAAUUGUGAUCUGGUAUGAAUGGCUUGACGAGGCAUGAGCUGUCUUAAUUUUGAAUUGUUUAUUGAAUUUGGUCUUUGAGUUAAAAUUCUUAGAUGUUUUUAUGGGACGAGAAGACCCUAUAGAGUUUUACAUUUAUUAUGGUCUCUUUCUGUUUGUGAGGGUUCACUAGGGCUGUCUAAUAUGUUUUGUUGGGGUGAUGGGAGGGAUAUUGUUUAACCCCUCCUUUAUGUUGUUAUAUUUAUUUAUAUUUGCUUGAUCCAUUUAUUUUGAUUGUAAGAUUAAAUUACCUUAGGGAUAACAGCGUUAUCUCCCUUGAGAGUUCUUAUCGGCAGGGGGGUUUGCGACCUCGAUGUUGGAUUAAGGUUUAUUUUCGGUGUAGGAGCUGGAAAGUUAUAUUGGGUCUGUUCGACCUUUAAAAUCUUACAUGAUCUGAGUUCAAACCGGCGUGAGCCAGGUUGGUUUCUAUCUAUAAUGGGUUUUUAUACCUUAGUACGAGAGGACCAGGUAUUUGGAAUAAUUUUAUGUUUGUUGAAUAUUAUUAACUG